rnacentral:rRNA from 1 species
CACACGACUCUCGGCAACGGAUAUCUCGGCUCUUGCAUCGAUGAAGAACGUAGCGAAAUGCGAUACCUGGUGUGAAUUGCAGAAUCCCGCGAACCAUCGAGUCUUUGAACGCAAGUUGCGCCCGAGGCCUUUUGGCCGAGGGCACGCCUGCCUGGGCGUCACGC